GCCCCGUUAGCUCAGUCGGCAGAGCAGCUGACUCUUAAUCAGCGGGUCGUAGGUUCGAGCCCUACACGGGGCA
rnacentral:tRNA from 4 species